CAAAUGAAAAAAAACCUCUCAGGGCCUUGAAUAAGACCCAGUGAACUAUUUUUGGAGACCCUAUUCGAAAGGAUAGGAUG
rnacentral:snRNA from 13 species